AACGAACGCUGGCGGCAGGCUUAACACAUGCAAGUCGAACGCAUCCUUCGGGGUGAGUGGCAGACGGGUGAGUAACGCGUGGGAACGUGCCCUUCAGUUCGGGAUAACCCAGGGAAACUUGGGCUAAUACCGGAUACGUGCGAGAGCAGAAAGAUUUAUCGCUGAAGGAUCGGCCCGCGUCUGAUCAGCUAGUUGGUGGGGUAAUGGCCCUCCAAGGCGACGAUCAGUAGCUGGUCUGAGAGGAUGAUCAGCCACAUUGGGACUGAGACACGGCCCAAACUCCUACGGGAGGCAGCAGUGGGGAAUAUUGGACAAUGGGUGCAAGCCUGAUCCAGCCAUGCCGCGUGAGUGAUGAAGGCCUUAGGGUUGCAAAGCUCUUUCGUCCGGGACGAUAAUGACGGUACCGGAAGAAGAAGCCCCGGCUAACUUCGUGCCAGCCGCCGCCGUAA
rnacentral:rRNA from 1 species